ACCCGCUGAACUUAAGCAUAUCAAUAAGCGGAGGAAAAGAAACCAACAGGGAUUGCCCCAGUAACGGCGAGUGAAGCGGCAAGAGCUCAAAUUUGAAAUCUGGCUCCUUCGGGAGUCCGAGUUGUAAUUUGGAGAGGAUGCUUCGGGUAUGGCCCCCGUCUAAGUGCCCUGGAACGGGCCGUCGGAGAGGGUGAGAACCCCGUCUGGGAUGGGAGGCCAGGCCCGUGUGAAGCUCCUUCGACGAGUCGAGUUGUUUGGGAAUGCAGCUCUAAGUGGGUGGUAAAUUUCAUCUAAAGCUAAAUACUGGCCGGAGACCGAUAGCGAACAAGUAGAGUGAUCGAAAGAUGAAAAGCACUUUGGAAAGAGAGUCAAACAGCACGUGAAAUUGUUGAAAGGGAAGCGCUUGCGGUCAGACUCGCUCCGGGGGGCUCCGUCGGCACUCGUUGCCGGCGUACUCCCUCCCGGGGCGGGCAGCAUCAGCUCUGGCGGGCCGGUGAAAGGUUCCCGGAAGGUAGCACCCUCCGGGGUUGUCUUAUAGCCGGGGACGGAAUACGGCCAGCCGGGGCUGAGGAACGCGCUUCGGCUCGGAUGCUGGCGUAAUGGCCGUAAGCGACCCGUCUUGAAACACGGACCAAGGAGUCUAACAUCUAUGCGAGUGUUUGGGUGGCAAACCCAUACGCGCAGUGAAAGCGAACGGAGGUGGGAACUCCCUCGCGGGGUGCACCAUCGACCGAUCCUGAUGUCUUCGGAUGGAUUUGAGUAAGAGCAUAGCUGUUGGGACCCGAAAGAUGGUGAACUAUGCCUGAAUAGGGCGAAGCCAGAGGAAACUCUGGUGGAGGCUCGCAGCGGUUCUGACGUGCAAAUCGAUCGUCAAAUUUGGGUAUAGGGGCGAAAGACUAAUCGAACCAUCUAGUAGCUGGUUCCUGCCGAAGUUUCCCUCAGGA
rnacentral:rRNA from 1 species